GGUGGUUCAAUGGUAGAGCACUUGCCUUGCAUGCAUGAGGCCCUGGGUUUGAUUCCCCAGCACCA
rnacentral:tRNA from 1 species